UACGUAGGGGCCGAGCGUUGUCCGGAGUUAUUGGGCGUAAAGCGCGCGCAGGCGGCCUCGCGCGCCCGACGUGAAAGCCCCCGGCUUAACCGGGGAGGGUCGUUGGGGACGGCGGGGCUUGAGGGCGGGAGAGGUCGGUGGAAUUCCCGGUGUAGUGGUGAAAUGCGUAGAGAUCGGGAGGAACACCUGUGGCGAAGGCGGCCGACUGGGCCGACCCUGACGCUGAGGAGCGAAAGCGUGGGGAGCAAACAGG
rnacentral:rRNA from 1 species